CUUUAAAUAAUAAACAAACAAAAUUCCUUGCUCUUACUUGAGCUCUUACUAGACAGAAAUCACUAUCUGUAAUUGGGUGGCUUUCCCACUUACCAAUUUUCCACAAAAAAAAAGAAACGGAUUUGCAAUAAACACAAUUGUUGUUGUCUCUCCUAGCUCACUUUUUCUCCCUCGCUCUGCAGCAGGCUGAUCUAUUCUUUUAAAGGCCUGUCUGCUAAUUGACUAGC